rnacentral:lncRNA from 1 species
UUUUCAGAGUUCUGCCAUGAGGGUCAGUUGAUAAAGCAGAUAAUCAAGCUGUUACAAGUGUGUGUAAAGUAAAUAUGAGUGAAUAUGCUACAAAUCAAGACUUGGGAGAGUCUCCUUUAGAAAGGAAGUACACAAAGGUUAAUAGGUGUUCUUUGAACUAAGUUUUUCUGCUAACUUUCAAAAUCAAGGUAAAGCCAUUUUGGAGGUGAGAUAAACCUGAGUUUGAAGCUGUCUUUUAGCGGUUGAGUCAUUGUCAAUGUCAGACAAACUUAUAUCCGGAUCCUGGGAUUGCCCCUCACCCGCAAGCAAUUUAGCUUCUCCAAGCUGCAGUCUCCACUGGCGUCAAACCUCCUCUGGCUUGUCUCGAAGAGGAAAUGAGAAGAUGGAAGGGGUGUGCCAGGCACCAGGUCUGGACAUGGUAAGUGCCCAAUAAAUGCCAGCUGCUAUCUGCGAUCAUAUUCCAGGCAGGCCCUUGUGGCCUCUUAAGAGUUGACAGAGCACGAAAGGAUCAACAGUUAGCUUUAUGGCCUAAUUAAUCUGCAAUUGGGUUGUAGAACUCUAACAGGAGACAGAGAAGCAGAAAAAGCACACAGACUCUAUUGUAUAUGUCUCCCCUCAAAUUUAAGUGCGUUCAGAUCCUUCUCAGGUUAGUGAUCUUGGCUUUUUAUGCCCAUCCUUCCAGAGUCUUUCUGGGAAGGGCUAUAAAACACGAAAGAGCAUCCUCCCCCAUAACUACCACGUAACUUGCUAACAAAAGAACGAUAUCCUGAGAUUGGCUUAUUAAAAUUGUUCUUUUGAAUCAGUUUGGGGGGUAAUCUGAUCAUCGAAGGGAGUCUGUGAACUUGGGUGAUGAAUUGCUUUGUCAACAGCUACUCUGUUGUUGGAAGUACUAGAUGUUUCUAACGGACUUAAUCCUAAAAUGUGAAGGUCAUGAGGCUGAUUUAAAAAAAAAAUACUAGAACUGCUCUAUUUCUAAGAAGGUAAGGUCAAGUUAGGUGUGAGUUUGGAAAAGAGCAGAAUUACAUGACUGGUGUGCAGUAGAGCCAACUGAGUUUAAAUUUUCAUCUCAUUGUAAAUUGUUAUUUCAGACUGAAAAGCUCUUCAUAGCUGAGCUCUAUGAGAAAUGGUUUAUUUUUAUUAUGUAUCAAAUCUUCCGAACAUGGUGGCCAAUAGAAUCAGAUUAAUCUCUCGCCUCCCCCCCACCCCGCCUCCCCAAUAGGGACAUGGUGUCCUAGAAACAGCCAGACCUAUACUAGGUUCCAUUUUAGUCCUGAGCCUCCAAAAUGGGUCUUUAGAAUUAAAUUUGGCUAUUAGCCCAGAUUUACUCAAAAUUUUAACAAGCACUGCUUUGUAUCUCAGCAUCCCCCCCCACCCCGGCCCCCAACUUCGUAACUGGUUAGGGGAGGGGAUGUGGGAGGAGGCACAUGAACAAAAAACAAAAGCAGCUGCUGGAGAGAAACCCCAGUGAAAGAGGGUGAAGAAAAACAAUUUUGCCACAGCAGCUGCUCCGAUUAUCAAAAGAGGAAGCCCUUGCUUUACAAUCACAUUUGAUCGCUCUAAAGUUGCAAAGGUUUCUAGCUCUUCUUUAUUUGGUUAGAAGCAGAAUGAAGUUUGUCUAGGAAGCUGGUAGAUGGAGGCAUAAGUGAAACUGAUAGGAGACCAGGGACUCUUGAAUCAACACAGCCGUUGAUUUUAAAAUUCUGAACCGUUGUUUAAUACUCAGCUUGAGAAUGAAUUCCGGAGGUUUGUUUUGUUUUGUCCUAUCCCAUUGUUUCAGGCCACAUCUUCUCACAUCUGAGAUCCCAUAGAGGUUUGGAAGCUUGUAACAGCAGAAUAACAAGUACACGUGGUCUGAAGCCGGGCAGAUUGGGAGGGCAGGCAGCCUGGGAGAACUCUGCUCCAUUUCGAGGGAUGCUCCUGUUACUGCAAGAUGCAUAUAUGGCCGGGCUGAAAUUCAGCCUUACGCGGGUUAGCGUGAAAGCGGCAGAAUGGCUAGCUGGAUCAGAAAAUUCUUUCUUGGAGCUGCUCAUUUCCAUGUUGUGCAUAGAUAGGUUAUGCAUGUGCAACGUGUUCAUUGCAUUUCUUCAUACUGUAAGAGAGUUCUGCAUUUUACCAGGGAGCCCAGUCCCAAAGGCAGUUUUUAUUGUAGUAUUGGGAAGUAUUCCAUGUCAGCGCCUUAGUCUAAGAGAGAAGGCAAAGAACUAGAACAAACUGUGGAAUAGAGGCACAUCUGAGAGUCCGAGGCCUUGAGGAUGGAUGUAGCCUCUGAUGCUUGCCUGGCCAAGCCCUGAUGUCCCAGGGGUUUAGAGAAGCCCCAGCUCACUGAUUCUAAUUCAGGAUUCAGCAACUCUUUUCUGUACAGAGCCAGGCGGUCACUAUCUGUCGCAGCUACCCAGCUGUGCUUUGUAGGCCAAAACAGCACUAGCUGGUCCGCAGUUGAAUGGGUGUGGCCAUGUGCCAAUAAAGCUGUAUGUAUGAUCCAGCUGCAGGUCCGAUUUGGCCUUGCUGACCCCUGGUCUAGAGCCGGGGCUUCUAAAGGGGUCCACACACCUUCAAGGGGCCUGUGGGAAGAGAACUCAGGAGGAAAUGGGAUAGGAAAAAAAUACACCCCUGUUUUUACUCACCUCCAAUAGAAACUUAGCAUUUGCUUUCACAUGAAUGUGGGCCACGCUUCAGUAGACCCAUGACUUUGCUGCGUGAAUAGAAAUCACAGAUACAUGGGCACAUCCUGUUUUGUCUCUGCUUAAUUGCGCUGCACAGGUAUUGCGGUUUUUACAAAUGGAAGGUUUGUGGCCACCCAGUAUCAAGCAGGUCUAUUGGCGCCAUUUUUCCAACAGCAUUUUUUAUAAUUAAGGUCUAUGCUGCCCUCACUUGAUCAUACUUUCAUGUUUAUUUCUUUUAAUCGAAGUGUAGUUAAUUUACAUUGUGUUAUUUCAGGUGUACAACAGAGUAACUCGGUUGUACAUAUACAUCUAGUUCAGAUUCUUUGCCAUUAUAAGUUAUUACAAGAUAUUGAGUAUAUUUCACUGUGCUCUGUAGUACGUCCAUGUUGUUUAUCUAUUUUUAUAUAUAGUAGUGUGUAUGUGUUAAUCCUAGAUUCCUAAUUUGUCUCUCCACCACCCAUCCCCUUUGGUGACCAUAAGUCUGUUGUCUAUGUCUGUGAUUCUGUUUCUGCUUUUGUAAAUAAGUUCAUUUGUAUCAUAUUUUAUUUAUUCAUUUGUGCCAUAUUUUAGAUUCCACAUAUAAGUGAUAUCAUAUGGUGUUUGUCCUUCUCUGUCUGGCUUACUUCUCAGUGUGACAUUCUCUAGGUCCAUCCAUGCUCCUCCUCCCAUCUUGAUGGAGCCCCAUCCUUAAUACCUUCUCAAUGGGAUUGGCUCACAUGGGCCCCCUGCAGUUCAUCCUGUGUCACUGCAGCUCAUGUGCUCAGAGGGCACUGUUCCCUGUCCUUGGGAUUGUCAAGUCUGUUGGGAUUUUAAAAAGACAGGCUUCUCUGUGAUUGGAUUGGCAUUUGGUUGUGAGUAUGCAUCAUGAGCCCUGACUAUGGUGGGAGACAGAAGCCUGACUUUAUUCUGGUUUUCUUAGUGAUUUUCUGCUGGCCUUUGGGCAGCUCGUUUAGUGGGAGCUGUUGAGGCCGAGGAGAAGGCAUUCUGGACAAGGGUCAGAGGCCUGAGUGUUAGCACUGUGACUUCCUCUGUCGAUCUCAUGAUCUUGGGAAAGCCAGUUAGCCUCUGUGUGCUUAAGUAAGCUUGUUGAAAAUGGGGUAAUACCCUCCCCGAGGAGUAGAUGAGACAGUGUUGGGCAAUCACUUUACGGGCAGGCCAUUUUCAUUAGCACAGUGGCGGAAGCAUGCUGUCUCUAGCUCAGAGUGGCUGAGAUGAUUGAGUGAGAUAAUCAACAUAAAUGCUGAAAUAAAUCCAAUCUACUUUAAUGGAAUCACCUUUAAUAACAAAUUAAGUGAGAGGAAACAUUCCUGUAUCUAGGCCUGGUGUAUUUCCCACUUGUUUUUGAAGGCACCCAUUGGCAGAUAGGAAUGAAGACCUUAGUAAAGAGGAUCCUAUUUGUAUUUUUGCUGUAAAGGAUGUGCAUUAAAGGAGACUGUACUUCACUGACAGUGGACUGUGUCUGGAAACCACACACUUGGACUCCUGUUACACAAUCACCUACUUUUCUGCAACCACUAAGAGCCUGACCAUCAUAUAGGAAUUCUGAACUCAGCCCAACAAAUGAUGAGGCUUGAUGGUAGUAGUUUAUAUUUCUAGCGUAACCUUCUUUUGCCACCUUCGCAAUUAGAAUUCGGCAAUUCUUUUUUGAAUAUAGAACUUUAAAUCGGAGGUUCGUUAAUUUGUAGUGAGAAAUAAAAUCCGCAGGCCGAUUUUGGCCUUCAGAGUAUCUUUUUCUUGGUAGGGAAAUCUCCAUGGAGUCUAAGUUUCAGGACCAGGUUGAGCAGAGAGCAGCAGGAAAGAAAAUUCACCAAGUUCCUGGCCCCAUUCUUGGGGGACUGUGUCCGUCUUCAGGUUCAAGUGCACAUUGUCUGCCGAAGUGUAUUUGAACAUGGAGUCCCCACAACAAGCAUGCAAAAAUCUUGGGGUUUGGCACCAUGACCUUGUCUGGCUGGCUGGACUUAGGGAACAAGGGCUCUUCGUUUCUGGCAGGUCUAGUGGAGGAGUGAAACCACAUGACCCUGAAGUUCCUUCAAAUGCAAUGACAGGAAGAAUGGGUUGAGCAAGAGUAAUUUUUGUAGACUCAGGAGACUGAAUCUUCUUCUUUUUCAGUCGAGGAAGUGGCACAUUCCAGACUGCAAGACAAGAAACCAAGGAGACGAAAGCUAAUAAAAACCUGAGGGAGGAAAUGAAAUUGUCUCUCAGUUGGUAGAGGUGGCUGCCUUCCCCCACGUCCUUCUUGGGUCUGUAAACUGCCUUUGUGUUUCACAUGUUUAUUUUCUAUUUUCUCUGCAUCUUUAUAGUCACCUUAAUGACCAUUUUCUGCCAAGGCAGUAAAGUAAAGCAUGUUUCUGAUAGGGCACUGCUUAACUCAUAGAAGGAUAAAGGUUAGACUUCCUUCAGGGUCAUGAGUCAGUCUGUGGCCAGACUGACCUUCAGCUGAUGUUUUCCAAGCACUGGCCCAGGUCAUCUUGUGAUAGGUUAUCUCACCUUAUCCUCGGAGCCAUCCUGUGUUCAGAGAUUUAGGAACGGGGCUCAGCAAGGUAAAGGGAUGUUGCGAGUCAUACAGGAGUUUGCAUAUAAACCACUCUGUGUAAGUCUGGAACCCUCUCCAUAGCUGCCUCCCAUGUUCAGCACAGUGUGUUACAUGUGUGAAUUCUUGAACUCUGGAAACUUGGGAAUGGUGUGAAAUGCUAUUAGUUUGAGGCAUUGUCUUAUGGGAAAAUGGGUUAGAUGUGUCUGGAGGCCUGACUGUAGCUGAUGGAUCUGAUUCUGAACAAAAACAUCCUUCAGAAAAAGGAGCCGUUCUUUUUAUAGAACAUCCAGGAUGAAGAAACGAAGCAGUCUGGGGAAUCCAGUCCAUUCCACUCCAGCCCUGUUUUGAAAGCAUGAAUGUGGUCCACUGAGAUUCAUGGAGUAGGACACUGUGGAAGCGUAAUGGGAAUUUCACAUUUGCUUAUGUUGCAUUUUCUCUCGAUGAAGUAUUCGGUGAAAGGAGAAAACUAGACGCAACUGAAUUGGGCAGAAUUGGAACACGCCUGCGCUCAUAGCUUCUGCAUCUCUUUGCUCCCACGUUCCCCCCACUUGGGGUUGCAACCUUCCCUCUGACUUCAGGUAGCCCCCCUUCCCCAUCUUCACAGUAACUCAUAAGCUCCAGCCCCUCUACCACCCACCCCACAAGCACCCUCCGGGUCUUUAUUCAAGGUAAAGUGAAAUAUUUAUAUUUAGAGAAAUAACUUAAUCGCUUACCCUGUGUAAAAUGGCAUUACGAUUUUCAUUAGGUUUCUCUUUUUUCUUAUAUAUGGCACCGAUGAAGAUUUUGAGUAUCAUGUCCCUCACUCCAUUUUUUUUUUCUCAUAAGAACUGUCUGUGUUUUUUACGGUUCAUUUUGGAAAAGAAGGAUGAUUUUAGGACUGUCUAUGUGGUGUUACAGCCCUCAUCCUUCUAUCUGACUUCACCCCGUUCAAUACCUUACUUGGGGGGUGAGAAGUACUCUAUGGCAGGAUAUACUAAAGUUCUAUUUAUGAUUUUCUCUCAGAAUCCAAACAGGGAGUAGAUGGAUUUGCCGAAAAACCCCAAAUUAAUGACACUUAAAAAUCUGACAUAAAAUUGAUAAACAACAGGGAUUUACUGUAUAGCACAGGGAAUGAUAUUCAGUAUCUUGUAGUAACCAAAGUGGAAAAUAAUCGGAAAAAAAGAGAAAAAUGUAAUCUAAUCACUUUGCUGUACUCCUGAAACCAACAAAGCAUUGUAAAUAACUAUACUUCACUGAAAAAAAUAAAUUUAAGAGGAGUUCCCAUCGUGGCGCAGUGGUUAACGAAUCCGACUGGGAACCAUGAGGUUGCGGGUUCGAUCCCUGCCCUUGCUCAGUGGGUACAUGGCUCAGAUCCCGCGUUGCUGUGGCUCUGGCGUCGGCCGGUGGGUACAGCUCCGAUUCGACCCCUAGCCUAGGAACCUCCAUAUGCCGUGGGAGUGGCCCAAGAAAUAGCAAAAAGACAAAAAAAAAAA